AAGUCGUAACAAGGUUUCCGUAGGUGAACCUGCGGAAGGAUCAUUAAUACGCUUUUGUUUGUAACAAAACAAAACGUUUUAAACUCCAAAAGAAAUAGUGGAAAUAUAACUUCCGGAUGCGAAUGUUGGGGAACUGAGUAAAAUUGGUUCUUUGAAAAAGGGACUUCAAGUAAAAUUGACACUUCAGAGUAGAGCAGUGAGGUGAAACCUUCGUUUUCGAGCGAGAGUUUUGGUUCUGAAAAACAUUUGUAUCCGGUUAUCAUAAUCUGUUCUACAAACUCCAAAAUAUCAAACAAUAAACCCCAUGUACAACAACUUGAACUAAACAUUUUUUUGUUGUCUGCUCGCACUCGUGUGAGAAGGUGAAACAAAGAAAAACCCUGAACUUAAGAACAACUCUUAACAACGGAUAUCUUGGUUCUC
rnacentral:misc_RNA from 1 species